CUUCCUACGGGACGCAGCAGUGAGGAAUAUUGGUCAAUGGGCGCGAGCCUGAACUAGCCAAGUCGCGUGAGGGAAGACGGUCCGAUGGAUUGUAAACUUCUUUUGUCGGGGAGCAAAAGACGCCACGCGUGGCGUUCCGAGAGUACCCGAAGAAAAAGCAUCGGCUAACUCCGUGCCAGCAGCCGCGGUAAUACGGAGGAUGCGAGCGUUAUCCGGAUUUAUUGGGUUUAAAGGGUGCGCAGUCGGAAGAUCAAGUCAGCGGUAAAAUUGAGAGGCUCAACCUCUUCGAGCCGUUGAAACUGGUU
rnacentral:rRNA from 1 species